GUUUGAUUUGGAACUGCUCUGGGAGCUAGCUAGGACAGACUCUCUCACAAACAGUACCCACCCAGGCGCCAGUCCGACUCCAAGACGUGUUAUGCGGCUCUCAUGGAACCUGCUGGCAGAUGCCCAGAGCCAAGCUCUAGAGCCCCAGUGGGACUCUACUUUGCAAUCUGGGGAACCAUUAAGUCAGACUGUCUGAUGGUCACCACUCACUGUGGAUCAAGGAACCCUAAGGUCACAGCGCCACGACCUUCCAGCCAUCUGGCCCUCCCCAGAGAGAACACAAAGAGCAUCAGAGCGAUCAGUCCCACAGCUGACCCCAGGGGCCCUGCAGCCGACUGGCCGGGAACACCCAAUGCUUCUUAAAAGCAGCUAUGAGCAAAGUCAAGGUGACAGACCCCUCCCCUCAGCACUUUUAGCUGCUGUGCCCCACACCUAGGAGACCGUGCCCUACUUCUUCCUGUUUCUACAUGUGUCUAAAUCCUCCCUGGUCUUCAUCACCUAGUUCAAGACCCAUCUCUUUCAGUUCUACACCCCCAACGCACACACUCUCCCCCUCCCACCUCAUUAUCUAGGCCUAGCAGAAUUAAGGAGUUUGCUCCAACAAAUUUGGGGCUUAAUUCCACUUUGUGGCUGCCUUUCACAUCUAAUUCCUCGACAAGCCCCAUCCCUUCCUCCUGCUCGGCAGGCCCCACCCCUCCGAAUGAUGUCCACAGAGUCCAGUCCUGGUCUAGCCCUCACCAUGCCCAAUCGCCUUGAUCUCCACUGUCUUGGGGAUCUUCUCCUCCCGGUUCCAGCUGGAGGCCUUCCGGCUCACUUGGGACUUGAACAGCGUGUUGACCAGCGUUGAUUUGCCCAGCCCACUCUGGCCUGCGGGAAGGGAAGGGGAGACGGAGAAAGGGAGACAGGCCCCACAUCUCCCUCCUGAGCGGCGGAGCCCUCCUGCGAGCUUACACGCCUGCAGAGCCGCGAUCCAGGCCAAGCCUUGUCUGAACACCCUUUGGGGAUGAGCGUCAGGUAGGAAUGGCUGUCUGUUUAACGGGGGGUGGGGGGAGAGCUUGGGACAUGGCAGUGGGAUUCCACGUCCCUUCGUGGACCCCAGGACCACUGGGAGGAGGCACACGUGCAUCUGUGUGGUGCGUGUGAUGUGUCUUUCUGUGCUUCUCGUAACAGAGUUACUGCCCUAGCUGAAAUGGCCCUAGAGACAUCUAAUGCAACACGUGAGGCCACAGAGCUGGUGAAUGCAAGACCAGGGCCCCCACCUCAAGAACCAUGCUGCUUUUUUUUUUUUUUAACACUUAUUUAUUCCGGGUGCAUAUACGUGUAUACAUAUAAAAUGCCCACAUUGUGCGUGCAUCUGUGUGGUGUCUGUGUAUACAUGAUGUGUGUAUUGGAUGUGUGUUAUAUGCUCAUGUGGCUCUAUGUGUGCCUAAGUAUGUGUGCAUAUAUGUGGUAUGUGUGAUGUGUGCACAUACGCGGUGUGUGUGUGUGUACGCCUGCGCGUUACAUUUCACGUGUGUACGUGUACAUGUUUAUAUGGGUAGUGGCAGAGUAUGUGUGUUGUGUGUUCUUGUGUGUGUGCUCGCAGAGGGCAGAAGAGGACGCUUGAGUGCCCUGCACUAUUGCUCACCACCUUAUUCCUUUGAGACGAGAUCUCUGAUUGAGCCUGGCGUUGGGCUGGGGGGAGCUUCCCAUCUCUGCUCCCCCCUGCACCAGGGCUGCCGGGGCUGCAGCUAGCUGUUUGCGUAGAUGCUGCGGAUUUGAACCCAGUGCCUCGUGCUUGUGCCGGCAUGCUUACUUACUGAGCCAUCCCUCUAGCCCCUGGUGUUUUUUAAACUGUGUUCCCAGAAGGCCUAAUGGCCUCUCGGAGGAGCAAGGCAGAAAAGGCACCGGGAGAGGAGGGGAAGCUGGGCAGACAGGACGGCAGCACCUUCCGCCACGAUGGCUUCCUUUGCACCCGUGUUAUGUGUGCAGCUCUGCAGCACAGUGCUUCCUAAGAGGACCUCCAAGUGAAAAUGCUCUCGAGCCACGCAGUACUUCUCGUGCACAAGAAUUACCCAGAAUGCCUUGGAGCUGGUGACCAACGCCGCCAUUUCCCUGCAUGUUUGCAGAUGUUCCGCCUCAGACCCCCCCAACUCAGAAUCUGUGGUUUAACCGGGCUUUGAGAGGAUUCACUGGAUGGAAAAACCCAAGUAGGGCUGGUCUGAAGCGUUUGUGUAGUAUAUUGGGGCGGGGCAGGGGGGAGACCAGGCAGACAGGAAGGAGCCUGGGACUCCUGACACCAGCUGAGGUGUUUGCACUGCUUUGGGCUUGUCGUGUUAUCCCCGUCAUUUCUCUACAGACGGAUAAGGAAGGAGGGAACUGGCAGAGACUAAGAAUGGCGAAUAGAUGCAUUUUCUCAUUCCACCUGAGGAGAUGGCAAAAGUCACUGAGAUGGCCAUGUUGAAAGGGCUCUACAGGAAGGAACACGGCAAGUCGGAGAGCCUCUGUGUGUGCACGAGCAGAGUGUGGAUGGGAAACGGUAAGAGUUGACUUGGAGCAGUUCCCAGCCAGGCUAGAAGUCUAAAUUUAUCCCGAGGUUAAGAGAGAGUUAUGGGAUUAGAAUGGACGGCUCAGUGAGUUCUGCUGUUGGAAAGGCCAUUGGGGUAGCCAGUGGACAAUGAAUCGGAGAGGAAAGGAGACCACGAAGGCCCGAUGUCACCCCAACUGGCCCAUGGCCCAGCUGUAAGGGCCCAUCUGCUUCUACUUCUGGUUCUUGAGCUGAGACUUCGGUGUGGGAAAGUUAAACGUGUGUGUCACAGGGCACGCGGUCCGCACAGCCGGUGGCUGAUUUCUACCUUGGCGGCGGCUCUUAUCCUGCUGUGGGUCAGCCCUUUGUGACCAGCACUGAGUCAGGCAGCGGAAGCAGCCCGGAACAAUUCGGAUGAGGCAAAUGGGCCCUUCCUGCUACAGCCUGUGACUCACUGAUGCUACUCAGUGAUCAAGAAGACCUGGGCAAAUUUGCAAAACAUGAACGAUAAGACCACCUCUCACCCUGUCCUCUCACAGGCUCCCGGAGGUGGGAAAGAGCUGGCAAUCCCAUUCCAUGAGCCCGAAUACUUUGCCUAGAUGUAAGUGUGUGCCCCCAUGUGGACUCGGCACCCACGGAAGCCAGAAGAGGGCCCUAGAGCAUCCUGGAAUGGAUUUAGAGAGCACUGUGAGCCGUGAGCCGCCGUGCAGGCGCUGGGAACCGAACCCAGGUCCUCCACAAGAGCACUAGGCGUUCCUUCACCACUGAGCCAUCCCUCCAGCCCCGACCAGGCUCUCCAGUCUCUGGACACCUUCAAGCACACCACUGUUCAAGAGUUCUAUGUCUGUGUAUGCAAUCUAAGGUCUCCAUGACCUUAGCUCGACUGAUGCCUGAGUUAGCUACUGUAGCUGGACCGGCUUCUCCUGUAUCUGCAGGAUGGUUAACAGGAUCCAUAGACCCCACUAGGUUCCUGAAGGAGCCUCUCGGAUGUGUCCAUCGAAAGAAUCCCCACACAGUACCAAAUGUUUCCUUGGGGGACAAUUCUACCCCCCCCCAAAAAAA